GACGAACGCUGGCGGCGUGCUUAACACAUGCAAGUCGAACGGAAAGGCCCUGCUUUUGUGGGGUGCUCGAGUGGCGAACGGGUGAGUAACACGUGAGUAACCUGCCCUUGACUUUGGGAUAACUUCAGGAAACUGGGGCUAAUACCGGAUAGGAGCUCCUGCUGCAUGGUGGGGGUUGGAAAGUUUCGGCGGUUGGGGAUGGACUCGCGGCUUAUCAGCUUGUUGGUGGGGUAGUGGCUUACCAAGGCUUUGACGGGUAGCCGGCCUGAGAGGGUGACCGGCCACAUUGGGACUGAGAUACGGCCCAGAAUCCUACGGGAGGCAGCAGGGGGGAAUAGUGCACGAUGGGCGGAAGCCUGAUGCAGCAACGCCGCGUGCGGGAUGACGGCCUUGGGGUUGUAAAACGCUUUCGCCUGUGACGAAGCGAGAGUGACGGGAAUGGGUAAAGAAGCACCGGCUAACUACGUG
rnacentral:rRNA from 1 species